rnacentral:rRNA from 1 species
UACGGGGGGAGCAAGCGUUGUUCGGAUUUACUGGGCGUAAAGGGCGCGUAGGCGGCCACCGCAAGUCGGUUGUGAAAUCUCCGGGCUUAACCCGGAAAGGUCAAUCGAUACUGCGGGGCUAGAGUGCAGAAGGGGCAACUGGAAUUCUCGGUGUAGCGGUGAAAUGCGUAGAUAUCAGGAAGAACACCGAUGGCGAAGGCAGUUCUCUGGGACGGUACUGACGCUGAGACGCGAAAGCGUGGGGAGCGAACAGG